AUCCGCACGUCCUCCUGCGGACGCGGCGGCGCCUGCCGCGCACCCCGCGCCUCCGGCGUUCCCCUCCGCACGUCCUCCUGCGGAUGCAGCAGCGCCUGCCGCGCACCCCGCGCCUUGGGCCGGCGAACGGACUGGUUGCGGCGUGAGCUGGGAGCGGUGGAGGCCGGGGUGGGAGCUGCGUCAUCGGCAAUCAGCGGCGGCGCCAUGGUUUCGGCCUCCCCUUCCUCUUGGUGGCUGCUUGUCCAUCCAGCGCCUUCCCCCAUGCUGGCGCCCCCUGUUGCCUUCUAUCCGAAUCGGAAGCAAAUCACCGGGAGUGGAGGCGGUGCCCCGUGGCCUCCUAUUCGAAUCGGAAGCGAAUCGCCAGUAUGUUUGAAUCAAAGUCUUGGCCGACUCCGAGUCAAGAGACAUCUGAAAAUUGCUAGGUCAUCUCCAAUGUGUUGUUGCCGAGACGUUCCUCACUGUAGACGAAGUCACGAAGUUGUCGGCUUUGUGUCUUCUCGUGCAGCACCUCUGCCGUCACCAGUAGCACGGAGACUUCCUCCACCAAUACCCUGCUGUUUCAGCUUCUUAACUACGUACUGCACAAAAGGUAUGAACCAGUUUUUCCAGAUCAUGUAUGUGCCUAUUGUUAGUUUUGGCCUCUCCGGCAAUACUAAUUUUAUUUGUGCUUCAUAAAAUUGCAAGCUCCUGAUGGAUUCUGAAAUUUAUUUGCUCACCUAUCAUAGAUGAGUUCCUGAUUAUUUUGCUCACCAAUUAUGGAUUUGUUAGUUUCUAAAUCAUUUUAUUUCAGUGAUGAACUCUGAAAUUUAUUUGCUCACCUAUCGCCCGACCCCCGGAAGGGGUCUACUCCGCCUCGCCCAACCCCUGCAGAAGGGGUCCGCCUCGCCCGACCUCCGCAUGAGAGGUCCACCUCACCCGACCCUCGACCCCCGCGGUCAUGGGGUCCGCCUCGCCCGACCCACGACCUGGAGUUUCCGCCUCGCCUGAUCCUCGACGGGGAGUUUCCGCCUCGCCCGACCCUCGACGGGGAGUUUCGGCCUUGCCCGACCCCCGCGAGGGGGCGCCGUCUCACUGCAAAGGGUCCUGCUCUGCUCGCAACGAUAGGUCUCCGGGAAAGAGGGAGGUCCCUUAGUCAAAAGGCAGUCGACGAAUGCGACCCUAGAGAAAUGGGGAAGUGGCAUUCCCAUUCUCUCGUACGGACUGGAGUGGGUGACGAGUCAACCCAUGAUCUCCUGAUGGAGACGCGGCACAACCACUUAGCCUGGCAUCAUUAAUAGUGAGCGCGCUGACCAACGGCACGCCGGGAUGUGAUGGACUACCAUGCCCUAUAGCUGACGACGUCGGCCGCAGCACAAAUGAUGAGGAUAAAAGUAACGGAUACGCUUAAACCACCCAUCACAGACUUAUCCCCGGGGGCUUAGCCUUGGCAACGUUGCAGCAGGUGCCGGCCCAAAGGCCGGAAGGCUCAGUGGCAGCCCAGCAAGCACAGAGCGGCCUACGGCUCCGCUUCCCCCGACCCCCGCAGAAGGGUCCGCCUCACCCGACCCCUGCGGAAGGGGUCUACUCCGCCUCGCCCGACCCCUGCGGAAGGGUCCGCCUCGCCCGACUCCCGUGCAAAGGCUCCGCCUCGCCCAACCUCCGCAUGAGAGGUACGCCUCGCCCGACCCUUGACCCCGUGGUCAUGGGGUCCGCCUUGCCUGACCCUCGAUGGGGACGAAAUUGGCGAGGAAUUUCUAGCGGCGGCUGCAGGUGUCUACGAAGAGAAGAGAGGAGCCGAUCGAGGAGAGGGUGUGAGGGGAAAGAGAGGCGGCGGCUUCAAGGCUGCUGCUAGCUGCGUUGUUGACCGCAGGCAUGCAAGUCAUGUGAGCAGAGCUGCGUUGUGUGGGCUGCCCAAUAGCAUGUCUUUUCCCUUCGUUUUUUUUCUUUCACCUUUUUAUAAAUAAACUUGUAGCGUAUUUGCUCAUGAAUUUAUUACAUAUGGAUUAGUUGAACAUGACAUGAUAAGAAAAUAGUUGCAAGUAUAAUUUUAAUACAAACUUAUAUUAUUUUAACUUUUAUUGAUUAUUUGAAAUGAAAAUAAUUGAUAUAUAUUAGGCAUGGUCCUAAUUCCUCCCUUGUAGAGUUUGCUGAAAUUGACAACCAUACUCGAGUUGGACUGACACCCACACUCAUAUUUUCGUAGCACGGUCCACAAAACAGCAUUGUCAUGGGGCUGUUCCCAGUCGCAGGUGCGACCGGUAAAAGUACCAUCACAAAAGCCUCCAUCGCUGGCCGUAUAUGGUCAGCAUCUUCUCCCUGCCGUCUGUUGGCUCCUGCGCUAACCCGGUGCCUCUGCCGCAGCCCUCUAUCGCUGUCGACGCUAACCUCAUUCGUCAUUUCCAACAGCGUUCGAGUUCCCCGCCUACGUCACCACUCGCAGGCUCCGUCACCUCCUCCUUCACACUCCAACACCGCCAUCACAAGCUACUGUCUUCUUCAACUACGGCCAAACUCCCCACCACCAUCCCUGCCCACUCGCCAUCCACAACCGCCCCAGCAGGCGUCGCCCACGCUGCCCCACCUCGUCGCCAUCUCGAGCACCCCACCACCGGUCCAAAGAUCUCCCCCCGCCUCUCCAUAACCGGCAGCACAGGAACCCCACCUACCCCAGAAACCUAACCUUGGCAACCCGAAACCCUAACCCAGCCACCGGGCUUUGCUGUGGGGUAGGAGUGUGCUAGAUUUAUUUUUUCUCUCCCCGUUGCAACGCAUAUCUACUAUAUUACUAGAGCAGUCAAUGAUUCAUUGGUACGUCAAUUGGAGUCCUAAUCGAAAUCUAGGUGACCGUAGGUGAGUGAAGGGUCCGAAACCAUUUAGAAUUAGCAUUUGACAAGUAAAGAAAAGGGUAAAGAUUGAAGUUAUCAACCGACAUAUACUAUGCUAUUAUAAAAUAUCUAUGGUGUAUAAUAUAUAUUUUUAUAUGCUAAUUAAUAUAUUUAUAUAGCUUCCCGUAGCAACGCACGAGCAUAUUUGCUAGUUCAGACUAAUAUAUACAUGGUUUCUGAUGAGCCUAGAUGCUUUACUGGUUAAUAAUUCUGGUAAAAAACAAUGCAUUUUCCAUGUUCAAGAAUGUCACAGAAAAGUUCAAGGAAUGUCGCUCAAAAGGAUAAGGAAACAAGUACAACUUUGAGCCUAACAAUUACUUCUGCAUAACCGUAUCACAUGGCUACAAUGGAUUAAGUGGAUAAGAAGAAUGCAAUUACCGGUAAGUGGCAGGCUGAUGUUGCAUAAAUGCCUAGUAGAUGAGCCCGUGGUGUCUGAAAUCUCAAUCUCACGGACAUUCCCUUGCUUGGAGGUUGUCGACCCAAUCCCUAACAUGUUAAGGAAGCUGUUUGGUUUGACCAGCGAGUGAUGCAGAUUUCACGAAUGGAAAAACAGGCAUAAUGGUUUCAAGAUGUCAAACCUCAACUCGAAAAUUAUCGUAUAUGGAAUGUCUAGUAGGAGCCUUGACACAACACAUCAUUGUGAUCUCCAUACUUGUCCAAAAAUGCAUCACCAGUUAUAGUCUCUGGAAUAUCUUUUGCGAACACAGCUUCAUAUUUUAAAAAGGUCGAGCUGUCGACGUGAACCCUGCCGUCCUCACCAUCACCGCCGAGCGCAGGAUCGCGCCGUGGGGCCGAGCGCGCGACCGGAUGUAGAGCCGAGCACGCGGUGGAGCCGACGAGCGAGGGGGGCGGCGUGGAGGGCAGGGCUGGAUCGACCGGUGGACGGGGCGAGGGCCAACCAGGAGGCGCCGCAGGAUCCAAUCGCAUGACAGGCGGGGAUAAAAAUCAGAUGGCUGUAGAUCGCAGCUGGCGGGACGAAGGCGCGGAGGCGCGCAGGUCGCACCAAGAUGCACGACGGACGAGCGUGAAGAAGAACUGCAUUCUUUUUAGUAGUAAUAGAAGAAGUAGAUAGAGAUAUCAAUAGGGAGGGGGGGGGGGGUCUAGUAGUUGUGUGUAGAAUGUUUAUUGUUUUUUCAUUAUUGAGAACUAGGAUUUACCUAUGUCACAAUCAAGUUUGUCGAAAAGGACAAAAUGAUAACGAUAUUUUGUGUGA